UGACAGGAUCCUCUAAGCAUAAGCUAACACAUGGUUUAUUAUUCCAAUCUCUCAGUUCAUAAAAUGAUAUUCUCUCAAAUAAUGAAAUGUUGUCAUAUUCCUUCAGUUCUUAGAGACCUUUGACACAUACUCAAGUCCAUUCAUCUUUUCCCACUUUUUCUAUCUUAUAUAGUCAAGACGGUCAAGGCUAUAUUGGCACACAUAGCAUAUGACCUUGUCCUUCCUUUUACUGAAGUUGAUAAGAUAAGACAUCAACCCUAAAACAGCAAAAAAACUACAAGAGAGUAUAUAAUUAUGUGCUAAAUUUUAUGGUACCACAAAGAGUCAGAGGAAGGAGGGUAAGGGUAGAGUUAAGGUCAAUGAUUCUAGACCUAACUCCUGACUGACACUAAGCAUAUAAAAUUGGGCAAGUCAAAUCACCCUUCUUAGCCUGUUUUCCUUUCCCAUUUUGACAAUUUUGCUAAUUGAAAGAGAGGCAAAGUCCCUAACCACACUCCGUCCCCCGUUUCUUCUUUCUUUCUUCUUUUCUUUUAUACUCGCCACAUAGAAUAGGUGAGAAAGCACUAGGUCAGCCUAACUCCACAUAAAAUAGCUACAAUCCCUUCAUUGCUCCCUCUCCUACCCUGACACGUAGGCUAAAUCUGCUCUGCAACAGAACCAAGUGUCCACGAGGACAGAAGAGGAUGAGGAUUCGGUUUUGGAAGGAGAUCACACUCGAGGAGGAAGACAGGAGUGGUUGUUAGAUUGUGAGCCAUUCUGGUGCACCAGGUGCAAAUUACCCCCUUGAAACUAUACUUAAACACCUGCCUCAAAUUCAGCGGGUGCGUCCCAACUGUUGCGUGUCUGUUGUGGACACCUUCUUCCAGAAGAGAAAUAAAACCUGCUUGCUGCUUUGUAAUCUCAGUCUUGUCUUUUCAUUUUGAUUCAGUGGGCUCACAUCCCACAUAAAUCCAUUCUCUAUUUUCCUAAAGUUAUGUUGAUUUUACUGAAAAAAAAAAGUCACAACCACAAUAAAAAUCUUCCAAUGGCUCUCCA
rnacentral:lncRNA from 1 species